rnacentral:rRNA from 1 species
AACGUUUAUCCGGAAAUUAUUGGGCGUAAAAGCGGCUGGGCAAGUGGGUUUUUUUAUGUCUGGAGGGGAGAAGACUAAGAUUCACCCGUGAGUAGGCUCUUUGAAACUAGGGAAGCUGGAGGUGCAGAAGGAGGAAAAGUAGAAUUUCCAAGUGUAAGCGGUGAAAAUGGAGUAGAUAUUAGGAGAGAAACCCAGUAGCGAAGGGGGCUUUUUCGUCUGUAACUGACCCUGAAGCCGGAAAGCGUGGGGAGCCAAACAGGAAUUUGAAUCCCCUGGUAGUUCACGCCGUAAAACGAUGAGUGCUAAGUGUCGGGGGUGUUUCCCCUCGUUGCCGCAGAAAUCACAUCAAUAACUCCUCCUGGGAAGUACGCUGGCAAGAGUGAAAAUCAUAAAAGUAGUCGGGGGGGCCCACAACAAGCGGAGCACCUGGUGUUUUUUUUAGAAACACGAAGAACAUCAUUUCAGGUUGACAUCCCCUUGUCCUAUCCCUAAUAGGAGGUUUUCCCUUUGGGACACGGGUGACAGGUGGUGCAUGGUUGUUGUCAGCUCGUGUCGUGAGAAGUUGGGUUAAGUUCCGCAACGAGCGCAACCCUUGCUUUUAGUUUCCAGCAUUUAAUUGGGCCCUUUAAAGGGACUGCCGGGGAUAAAUCGGAGGAAGGUGGGGAAGACGUCAAAUCAUCAUGCCCCUUAUGGUCAGGGGUACACCCGUGGUUCAAUGGGUGGUACAAAGGGUUGCCAAGCCGCGAGGGGGAGGUAAUUCUUUAAAACCAUUUUCAGUUUGGGUUGUAGGCUGAAACUUGCCUACAAGAAGCUGGAAUUCGUAGUAAUCGCAGAUCAGACUGCUGCGGUGAAUGCGUUCCCGGGUCUUGGUCCCCCCCCCCGUCCCCCCCUGGAAGUUGGGGGACACCGAAGCUGGUUAGGUAACCUUUAGGAACCAGCCGCCUAAGGUGGGACCGAUGACUGGGGUGAAGUCGAAGCAAUGUAGCCGUUCCAGGCGA